rnacentral:rRNA from 1 species
CUGCUGCCUUCCGUAGGAGUCUGGUCCGUGUCUCAGUACCAGUGUGGGGGACCUUCCUCUCAGAACCCCUACGCAUCGUCGCCUCGGUGGGCCGUUACCCCGCCGACUAGCUAAUGCGACGCAUGGCCAUCCUAUGCCGGAGUCGCCUCCUUUGACCCCCUGGAGAUGUCUCCAAAUGGUGUUAUGCGGUAUUAGACGGAAUUUCUUCCGCUUAUCCCCCCUGCAUAGGGCAGGUUCCAUACGUGUUACUCACCCGUGCCG